rnacentral:rRNA from 1 species
UAAAAUUAAAAAAUUUGGCGGUAUUUUAGUCUUUUCAGAGGAACCUGUUCUAUAAUUGAUAGUCCACGAUUUAAUGUACUUAUUUUAUAAAUUUAUAUAUCGUCGUAGUUUGAAUGUUUUAUAAGAAUAUUUAAUGUUCAUAAUUUAAAAUAAUAGAUAAAAUCAGAUCAAGGUGUAGUUUAUAAAUAAGAAGAAAUGGGUUACAUUUAGUUUAUUAUUGAAUAAUUUAAUUUAAUUUAGAUUUGAAAUUGGAUUUGAAAGUAAAUUUAAAAAAUUUUUUAAGUUGGUUAAAGCUCUAAAAUAUGUACAUAUUGCCCGUCACUUUCGUUUUAAAAUGAGAUAAGUCGUAACAAAGUAGAUUUACUGGAAAGUGAAUCUAGAAG